rnacentral:rRNA from 1 species
UACGUAGGGGGCGAGCGUUGUCCGGAAUCACUGGGUGUAAAGGGUGCUCAGGCGGGUCAGUAAGUCAGGGGUGAAAUUUCACAGCUUAACUGUGAAUGUGCUUUUGAUACUGCUGGUCUAGAGUUCAGGAGAGGGCAAUGGAAUUCUUGGUGUAGCGGUGAAAUGCGUAGAUAUCAAGAAGAACACCGGUUGCGAAGGCGGUUGCCUGGCCUGUAACUGACGCUCAAGCACGAAAGCGUGGGGAUCAAACAGGAUUAGAUACCCUGGUAGUCCACGCCCUAAACGAUGAAUACUCGGUGUCGGGUCGAAAGGCUCGGUGCCUAAGCUAACGCUUUAAGUAUUCCACCUGGGGAGUACGAUCGCAAGGUUGAA